rnacentral:rRNA from 1 species
UAGGGAAUCUUCGGCAAUGGACGGAAGUCUGACCGAGCAACGCCGCGUGAGUGAAGAAGGUUUUCGGAUCGUAAAGCUCUGUUGUAAGAGAAGAACGAGUGUGAGAGUGGAAAGUUCACACUGUGACGGUAUCUUACCAGAAAGGGACGGCUAACUACGUGCCAGCAGCCGCAGUAAUACGUAGGUCCCGAGCGUUAUCCGGAUUUAUUGGGCGUAAAGCGAGCGCAGGCGGUUAGAUAAGUCUGAAGUUAAAGGCUGUGGCUUAACCAUAGUACGCUUUGGAAACUGUUUAACUUGAGUGCAAGAGGGGAGAGUGGAAUUCCAUGUGUAGCGGUGAAAUGCGUAGAUAUAUGGAGGAACACCGGUGGCGAAAGCGGCUCUCUGGCUUGUAACUGACGCUGAGGCUCGAAAGCGUGGGGAGCAAACAGGAUUAGAUACCCUGGUAGUCCACGCCGUAAACGAUGAGUGCUAGGUGUUAGACCCUUUCCGGGGUUUAGUGCCGUAGCUAACGCAUUAAGCACUCCGCCUGGGGAGUACGACCGCAAGGUUG